rnacentral:precursor_RNA from 12 species
GCUAAGGAGUCUGGGAUUUGUCCUGUAAACUUUGGGGGGUGAUCUUGGACAUCAGAAUAGGAUGGAUGCCAGGAUCUCUCUCUUCAGGGCCCUGCCAGAAGCGCCUCACCUUUGGCC